rnacentral:rRNA from 1 species
GAUGAACGCUGGCGGCGUGCCUAAUACAUGCAAGUCGAGCGAACAGACGAGGAGCUUGCUCCUCUGACGUUAGCGGCGGACGGGUGAGUAACACGUGGAUAACCUACCUAUAAGACUGGGAUAACUUCGGGAAACCGGAGCUAAUACCGGAUAAUAUAUUGAACCGCAUGGUUCAAUAGUGAAAGACGGUUUUACUGUCACUUAUAGAUGGAUCCGCGCCGCAUUAGCUAGUUGGUAAGGUAACGGCUUACCAAGGCAACGAUGCGUAGCCGACCUGAGAGGGUGAUCGGCCACACUGGAACUGAGACACGGUCCAGACUCCUACGGGAGGCAGCAGUAGGGAAUCUUCCGCAAUGGGCGAAAGCCUGACGGAGCAACGCCGCGUGAGUGAUGAAGGUCUUCGGAUCGUAAAGCUCUGUUAUUAGGGAAGAACAAAUGUGUAAGUAACUAUGCACGUCUUGACGGUACCUAAUCAGAAAGCCACGGCUAACUACGUG